AUUGAACGCUGGCGGCAUGCUUUACACAUGCAAGUCGAACGGUAACAGGCCUUCGGGUGCUGACGAGUGGCGAACGGGUGAGUAAUGCAUCGGAACGUACCCAGAGGUGGGGGAUAACGCAGCGAGAGCUGUGCUAAUACCGCAUGUGAUCUGAGGAUGAAAGCGGGGGACCGAGCAGCAAUGUUUGGCCUCGCGCCUUUGGAGCGGCCGAUGUCGGAUUAGCUAGUUGGUGGGGUAAAGGCCUACCAAGGCGACGAUCCGUAGCUGGUCUGAGAGGACGACCAGCCACACUGGGACUGAGACACGGCCCAGACUCCUACGGGAGGCAGCAGUGGGGAAUUUUUGGACAAUGGGCGCAAGCCUGAUCCAGCAAUGCCGCGUGCGGGAAGAAGGCCUUCGGGUUGUAAACCGCUUUUGGCAGGAACGAAACGGUGUCCGCUAAUACCGGGCGCUAAUGACGGUACCUGCAGAAUAAGCACCGGCUAACUACGUG
rnacentral:rRNA from 1 species